rnacentral:pre_miRNA from 1 species
ACCAUGGAUCUCCAGGUGGGUCAAGAUUAUAGAGAUACACCAACCUGGAGGACUCCAUGCUGU